GUGAGCGAUGAAGGCCUUCGGGUCGUAAAGCUCUGUCCUCAAGGAAGAUAAUGACGGUACUUGAGGAGGAAGCCCCGGCUAACUACGUGCCAGCAGCCGCGGUAAUACGUAGGGGGCUAGCGUUAUCCGGAAUUACUGGGCGUAAAGGGUGCGUAGGUGGUUUCUUAAGUCAGAGGUGAAAGGCUACGGCUCAACCGUAGUAAGCCUUUGAAACUGAGAAACUUGAGUGCAGGAGAGGAGAGUGGAAUUCCUAGUGUAGCGGUGAAAUGCGUAGAUAUUAGGAGGAACACCAGUUGCGAAGGCGGCUCUCUGGACUGUAACUGACACUGAGGCACGAAAGCGUGGGGAGCAAACAGGAUUAGAUACCCUGGUAGUCCACGCCGUAAACGAUGAGUACUAGCUGUCGGAGGUUACCCCCUUCGGUGGCGCAGCUAACGCAUUAAGUACU
rnacentral:rRNA from 1 species